AAAAAACAACAAACCUCCAUCAGGAAGUAUCUGAGUAUGCACUGUCAUGGAGAAGUGAAGGCCAAACGGCAGUAGGGAACAGAGGUUCCUGCAGUGAACAAGUUACAUUUGAAGAAAUCAGGAUGCUGCUGUCUGUAUUCCCUGCACUGAGACAAAUCCAGCUCCAGCUCCAGCUCCAGCUCAGUCCAUUUCUUGGUGUAUG